UAACGGAAGCUGGUCUGUAAAAAACCUGCAAACAAUUGGCAAUGUUCUGUCUAUUAAAAAUAAUGUCAUUUCGGCAGUUCGAUAUUGCCCAAAAUAAUGCUCACACUCCAUCCCGAAUGUGUGUCGCUGGUUUAGGCUCCAUCCCACUAAGCCAAGUCCCAAAUAAAGUGUCAAUAUUAUUAGAUGGACUAACAUUAAAGACCGUGUGCACUUUUCACCACAGUAAUCAUUGACACUUUGAUGAUGGUAGGCGUUGAAUGAACAUAUGUUGAAUCGACUCAUCAAGAUCACCACAGAAAAAAAACCAAAGUUUGCUAUCUUCCCAACGACGUUUUGAUAAACCAUUUUCUUGUGAAUAAACCAUAUUUUUGCUACCUUCCCAAUGAUGUUGAAUCGACGUCUUUAGUCAAGAUCAUUUUCUUGUGAAUAAACCAUAUUUUUUUUCGAAAAGGAUGAACAAACCACAUAAAGACUUUUAUUUUUAGGGGCACUUUAAUUUUCCAGAUGUGUAGAGAUUUUCGGAUUGGUCCAGUAUUUAUCAAAUCAAUAUAUAUUGACUUUACUGACAAUACUCCUGAUAUGGCACAUAUGCUGGUGAGAAUCAAUUUUUUAGUAACUCAUCAUCCAGAAAACAAUUAAUUAAGGUGAUAAACCCAUAUGUUAGCAAUGUGGUAGGCAACAUAUUGGCACUACCUUUUUUUAAUGCUUUCAGUAUCACACAUGAUUUAUCAAAAAUGACUUUCGUCCCGCUUUACAUAUGAAGCAAAACUAUUAUAACAACAAGAUCCAACAGAGGUUCACACCACACACACAUAUAAGGGUAGCAACACACAUAGUACGAGAAGGUAUCGCUGAGGGCAAUGCUUUCAGUAUCACGCAUGAUUUACACAGUUAAGUUACUAGCUAGCAGGUGUGUUGUCCACAUCGAAAUUCGAAAAUCUUGACCCUUGCUCCACCAUGAUUUUGUAUUGUUCUAUUCACUUGUCGUCUUUACCAACCAGUGGGACAGCUUUCACUCCUUCCUUUGUCACCACCACUAGUUUCAGUACUGAUCCUUCCAGGCGCUCAUGUGCCCUUGCUUGUUUAUAGAGCAACAAAAUACUUUAAUCAUUCUCUCUCAUACUUUAAUCAGAACUUUAUCAAAAGUUUAGCACCCAAAUUAAAGCUACAUUAGCCGUACGUAAGGAAGAAAUAAUGGCAUAUGUUAUCACAAUGUACACAACCAUUUUUCAACUCCCAAAUCAUUGUGGAAACGAAAUCGAUGGUGCUCGGUUUCUUGUCCACAUGGAGCAUUGUAACUUUUCACCUGCUAGUAUGUGGAGCACACAUGGUUCACGUCACCGUAGAUUAAGAUGUAUAUUUACGUAAAAUACAUACGUAUUUAUUAUGCGUCGAGCCUUAGUUGUACCAUUGACGGGCUACUAAACGACCAUUGCGCUACACUAUGGUUAGCUGACCCAAAUGACUCACCACAAUAUGUCACAAGCUAGCAAUAACUAUUACUCCCUCCGUCCCAAAAUUCUUGUCUGAUAUUUGUUUAGAUACGAAUGUAUCUAGUCAAAUUUAGUACUUAGAUACAUUCAUUUUUAGACAAAACUAAGACAAAAAUUUUGAGACGGAGGGAGUACAACUUAUAUUCACACAGGCGAGAUGUUCGUACUUCGUAGUGACUUUGUUAAUUUUGAAACUCCGAGACUCCAAUGUUUAGUAGACGUCAUGCAUACGGAAACGUAUGGUGGUGUGGAAGCUAAUAGCCCUCUUAUAUAACUAACUAAUUAGCUUUCGACAACCGGCUUGGUUGUUGCCUCUGCGUCUCUAUGCAAGUGGAACCGGAGGAUGACAACCAAUGCUGGACGUCAUCGAGGACGUGCAGGGCGCCGACCUAAUUUUUUUUUCCACGAAAACCUAAAACCCUCUGGCGAUUAGGGUUUUGGUGGACUUUGACGGCGCCCGUCGAUCCUCCGACGGCGGGGUGCCCGAGUGCUUCCCUAGGAUGGCUUCCAACCCCAACUCAGGCGACGCGCCGCAAAGCUCUGGUCCCUCCUCCCCCCGAGCGGAGCGGGCUAAGCUGGAAGAGGCGCUGGGAAAGAUGGCGAUCACAGACGAGGAAGCAACACCGCUCGUGAUUGAUGACCGGGAAGAUGAUAAACCGGCUAAGUGGCUCCUGGCGGGUAGGAUACUCCAUCGCAAUCUCCUGCACAUCCAAACUAUCUCAGGUGCUCUCAAGCCAGCUUGGGGUAACCCUAGAGGCCUUCAGUUCCGAUCUAUGGGCGAAAACACUUUUGUGGCAGAGUUUGAGUCACAGCGUGACAGGGAUAGGAUCUGGGAGGGAUCCCCCUGGCAUGUCAGUAGAAACGCUGUCGUUCUCGCUGAAUUUGAUGACUGCAUGAGGCUAGAUGAAGUCUAGUUUGACCGGCUCAGUCUGUGGGCUCGUGUCCCCAAUCUCCCAUACAAUCUACGUAACGAUGCAUGGGGGAAGUUAAUAGCGCAGCAGAUUGAUAAGAACGCGACAGCAGUUCAGUUUGAUCAUGUGGGCGGCUUUCUGAGAGCGAGAGUAUCAAUCGAAGUAAACAAACCACUUCGGCCGUGGAUAUUGAUCGACUCAGCCAAGAGGAAGAAGGUGGAUAUGUAUGUCAUCCAGUAUGAACAUGUACCUCACUUUUGUUUCUCCUGUGGCCGGCUUCGACAUUCAGAGCUCUACUGCCCGAAUCCAGGCCCCCGAGAUGCUAAGGGCGAUCUGCCUUUUGGGCCAAAACUUAGGGCUAGUGAUGAUUGGAAGAAGGCUGCGUCUGGUGACAGCUCGAAUAAGGAGCACUAUUCAGGAACAAGCAACCAGAGGGAGUCCAAGAAUUCCACUACCAGUACGAGGGGUGGCCACGCUGAAGUAAAUUCUCCUGUCAAGAACCGCACAAACUAUAAGAGGAAGGAUGUACCUAAGCAGGCAUAUCGCCGUGUGACUGAGACGAAGCUGUUGAUCACGGAUGGUUCUGCCGCCGCUGCUGCAGAGGGGGAGGAUCAUGAUAUGAGCAGAGAUGAAAAUGAGGUGGAUCAUGAGUUGGAGCAUGAGUUGGAACAGGAGGGGGAAAGGGUACCGAAGAAAAAGAAACCUACACCAGCUAAUUCGGCAGAGGCUGCGGUGCAACCCUGCCAGUCUCAAUGAGGUGCAUAAGUUGGAACUGCCGGGGGCUUGGGAACCCCGAGGCAGUUCGAGAGCUUCGCAAUAUUGUGAAGCAAGAAGCUCCUGCCCUGCUAUUUUUAAUGGAGACCAAGAUCAGGGCUCGAAGGGUGGAAAACCUACGCCAUCGGCUAGGGUUUGCGGGAUGCUUUGCGGUUGACAGCAAUGGACUUAGUGGGGGCGUUGGCCUGUUCUGGUCCAAGGAUGUCACCGUUGAUUUGAGAAAUUUCAGUAUCGACCAUAUUGAUACUAUGGUGUGAUUGAGUGAUCAAAGCUUAGAUGAGUGGCGAUUCACAGGUUUCUAUGGUGCACCGAGAGUGGACAAUAGGAUGCAGAGUUGGAAUUUGCUGCGGACACUGUUCGCCAUGCCACACUCGACGUGGUUGAGCAUGGGGGACUAUAAUGAGACUCUCUAUGCUGAUGAACACUUUAGUCGUGCACAUCGGCCAGAGCGGCAGAUGCAGGCUUUCAGAGAUGUCAUAGAGGAGGUGGCAUUCCAGGAUCUGGGAUGGAAUGGGAUUCCCUUCACAUGGGAUAAUAGACAGCAAGGUUCUUCCAACGUGAAAGCUCGGUUGGAUAGAGCUUUUGCAAACGAUUCUUUUCGACAACGGUAUGCUGAUGUUCGAGUGCGCCAUGUCAGUGCUGUGGAGUCUGACCAUUGUUUCCUUAUAGCGGAAAUAAAUAUGCACGGAAGUGACUAGGGGGCACGUCAAGCAAAGCAGUUUCGUUAUGAGAAUGUGUGGCAAACACACCUGGAUUACGAGCAGCUCGUUGCGUCCACUUGGCAAGCUCAACAGCGGUCUGAUGACCUGCAGGGUAUCAUGGAUUCACUAGGGGAGCUACAGAAAACACUCGAACCAUGGGGGGCGAGAGAGUUUGGCUGCUUGGCAAGGACGGUUCGCCAGCUACAGAAAAAGCUUGAGAAGCUGAGGCGAGGAUCUAUAGGGCGAGGUCCCACUGAUGAGGAAAAAAGAACUGCAGCGAAACUUAGAGAGGCUCUGAAAUAGGAAGAAAUUUGGAUGCGUCAGCGAUCCAGAGUUCGGUGGUUGAAGGAGGGUGAUCGAAAUACUGGGUAUUUUCAUGCACAGGCAAAGCAGCGCCAGCGGAUGAAUAAAAUCUGUGGUCUUGAGAGGGUAGACGGCUUGGUCUGUGCAAAUAGUGAAGAAGACAAAGCUGAGAUUCUGUCGUUCUAUCAAAACCUAUACACUUCCCAAGGUGGGCAUGACAUGAGUGAGAUCCUGCGACAUGUUCCAGUCAAAGUAUCACCUCAGAUGAAUGAGCUUCUAGAUAAACCCUAUGAAGCAAAGGAAGUCCGGGAAGCAUUGUUUCAGAUGGCACCAUCGAAAGCCCCGGGAGUAGAUGGUUUUACUGCGGGAUUCUUUCAGAAACAUUGGAAUUUAUUGAGCGAGCAGGUCACUACGGCGGUGCUUGGCUUCUUGAAUGGGGGAGAGCUACCCCGGGGGCUAAAUGACACUUCAAUCACUCUUAUACCUAAGGUACGACACCCCCAAAAAAUUUCCCAAUUCCGGCCUAUUUCCCUUUGUUCAGUCCUGUACAAGGUGGCCUCCAAAGUUAUCACGAACCGGCUAAGAAUCUGUAUUGAUGUGAUUAUCAGCGAGGAGCAGAGUGCAUUUGUGUCGGGCCGAUUGAUCACUGAUAAUGUGCUAGUUGCUUUCGAGUGUGUUCAUGCAAUCCGCAGGAAGAAGAAAGGCAAAAAUUACUCAUGUGCAAUUAAGCUGGAUAUGAUGAAAGCAUACGAUCGUGUAGAAUGGUCUUAUUUGGAGGCAAUUCUUCUUCGUUUGGGGUUCAGCACGACACUAGUUCGACUGAUCAUGAAGUGCGUUACCUCAGCACAUUUUUCGGUACGGAUCAAUGGGGAACUUCAACCUUACUUCACACCUUCCCGUGGUUUUCGGCAAGGGGACCCAAUGUCGCCCUUUCUAUUCCUCCUUUGUGCUGAAGGUUUGUCCUCCCUGAUCAAGAACUAUGGAUACAUCGACAGAGGAGUACGGGCAAGCUUUCGGGCUCCUUGGGUAAGUCAUCUAUUUUUCGCAGAUGACAGUCUGAUUUUUGUAAGUGCCAAUGCCCAAAGUGCAGAGCGGCUCAACUCAAUCCUGCGGGUUUAUGGAGAGGCUUCGGGCCAGUGUGUAAAUCGCGAUAAAAGUGCCAUCUACUUCAGCCCUAAUACUCCCCAUGAGCUGCGUCAGUUUAUGAAAACCGUUCUCGGGGUUACUGUUGAAGCUUUUAGUGAUCGGUACCUCAGACUUCCUACAGCAGUGGGACGAAUCACCAGCGGAACAUUUGAUCAUAUUGCUGAGAGAUCGAGAAGUAAGAUGAGGGGGUGGUCUGAGAGGUUGUUUGCCUGCGCAGGACGGGAAGUUCUUCUUAAAUUGAUCGUCCAGGCCAUCCCAACGUUCAACAUGAGCUGCUUUUUACUUACCAAGAAGGUGUGCAAAAAUCUAACUUCCAGCAUGGCCAAGUAUUGGUGGGGCAGUUCCAUUGAUCGACGAUCUUUACACUGGAUCUCGUGGAAGGAGCUGGUGACACCAAAAUGCAAAGGGGGGAUGGGCUUUCGAGAUUACCAUUGCUUCAACCUAGCUCUGUUGGGAAAGCAUGGUUGGCGCCUGCUCGCCAAUCCUUCCUCCCUUUGUGCUCGUGUGCUGAAGGGGAGGUACUAUCCGGAUACAGACUUUACUCGGGCAACGGUGCCGCAUUCGGCCUCAGCUACCUGGCGUGCCAUUGUGGCUGGUAGAGAGGCGCUAAACCUUGGUCUCAUUCACCGCAUCGGCGAUGGCUCUUCCAUCAAUGUCUGGGAUGACAGAUGGAUUCCUUCUACAAGGACCAUGACCCCUACCGUUAAACCUCCUGGAGCGACAGUCAUGAAUGUCAGCGAGCUACUUCACACAGAAUCAGGAACAUGGAGAGUGGACUUGGUUAGGGCGAACUUUGCUGCAGUGGACGCAACCGCAAUUCUGAACAUCCCUCUUCGGAGGGAAGGGGGUGCAGAUUUUCUGGCCUGGGCGCAUGAGAAGUCUGGUAACUACACCGUGAAAUCGGCGUACCGAGCUCUAAUGACACACAACGAGCAGUUAGCUCAAGUGGAAGGGCAGGUCACAGAUGCUUCAGUGGCACAAACACACUUGUGGAAGUUGCUAUGGGCUCUCAAGGUAGUGCCCAAGGUCCGUGUUUUCUGGUGGAGGGUUUUGCGGGGCAUACUACCAGAUGAAUCAACCCUCAAAUACAGACACAUCAGAGAUACAAGUUUGUGCAAAUUAUGUAUGCUUGCGGACGAAAAUCUGGAGCAUGCGCUCAUACAUUGCUCUCAUGCUCGUACUUUCUGGGUCGAGGCACAUGCACUGUUGGAUUUUCAACUUCCAACGCUCCAUCCUGAUACUUGGCGCAAGGACAUCGUUACUGAUCCAAGGUUCAGCCCCAAGGAUCGGGCCAUGAUCAUUACCAUCAUGUGGUCUAUUUGGAGCUCUCGGAAUAGAUGGACUCAUGAUGGGGAGAGCUUCGAUCCAGUGCGGUCCAUUAAGUAUACCAGGGAAGCUUUAGCUCUGCUGGAGAUUCCAAUAGCUCAAGCCGCGACAUUGCGGGGGUAUGGAUAGCUCCCUCCUGAAGGUAACCAGGUCAAAAUUAACACUGAUGCAGCGGUUGAUAUCCUGCGCCAACAAUGCGCUGCUGGUGGGGGCGCGCGGUCCAGAGGCUCCUUACUAGGCGCAUGGGCCAAGCCUCAUGCUGGGGUGACUGAUCAUCCCAUUGCCGAAACCCUUGCACUAAGGGAAGUACUCAUAUUUGCUAGCCUAAGGGGCUUCUCUGAUGUGGUGAUGGAAACAAACCGCCAGGAGGUGGUUAAUCUCUGGCAUGAUCGUCGGGACGGACGAUCCGUUGUGGCUCCAAUUUUAUUGGAGAUUGAAGAGCUUUCUCUUACCUUUUCCUCUUUUAUAAUUCAACAUGUAUUAAGAGCAGCGAACGGUUCAGCGCAUCUAUGUGCCAAGUAUGCUUGCACUAGAAAUGCUACCGAAAGUUGGCUUACUGAGACUCUAGUUUUCUGGUGAGCAGCCUUCUGGCUGACUGCCCAGCGAACACCUUUCAUCAAUAAAGCUCUGAUAUUUCGACGCAAAAAAUAAUAAUAAUUAGCUUUCGGGAUAAAAAAUCAAAGUCUGACCUCAACUGAUUGUGCCACGGAAUAGUUAACUGAAUCCCACAACCGACGCGAGGAAAACGGAUGGCUCCCACGACGCGCCCCGCGAGCGCAUCACGAGAGGUUACCGAGCAACGUGUCCUUAUCCAUCUUCUACCCUCGCCGCCGCCAGUCCGCACCGUCGGGCAAUGCUCAGCUGGUGAUGGCGAUGGAGGGCCCCUCUUUCCUCUCUGCAUGUGGGGGUUCAGUGCGGGCCGGCGACUCCGGGCGGAGGUCCGACGCUAGGCUAGGGCGCGGCGGCAUUGGGAAGAGCUCGGAGGCGGCCGGUCUUUGGUUCUUCGUGCCAGUUGUGGAGGGCUGGUAGCGGCGACGGCUCUCGCUUGGGUUGGCGGCGGUCCGCGACCGUAUUGCCUAGAUCCGGCCCGUCGGGACCCAGGGGAGUCCUGUGCUGGUUGGCCCUGCUGUUCUUCGUGCUCCAAAAUUUGGAUUUGUUUCAUCCCGGUCUCCUUGAUCUGGACAACGACUGGUUCCGGUCUUCUGUUCGGAGAUCUCAAAUUAUGCACAUGGCAUCACUGGAUAUCUAAAUCAAAAUUGAUCUAGUCGGACAUACCCUCAUCUUUGGCUAGAGAGGCUUCAUGAGGGCAUGGCGCCAAGCUUCGCUGCCCUGCCAGGGCCAUGGGAUAUGUCUAAGUAUAAAUUUUCAUGGUACUGACAAAGGUGAAGAAAGUCAUGGUGGCUGACAUCAGAGGCUUGUAACGGCAAAUAGUAGUUUUGGUUGCGUUGAAAAAUGAUAGCACGGAUUUUUUCCUUUGUGUCGCGUUUUGAAGACUUGCAACGACGACCCGGGGCAGCAACACAGAUGGACAAAAUUUUUGGGGUUGCUUCCUGAGUACCGAGCCUUGAUCUCCAGGGUGAAACCCAAGGAAUGGACUUUAUUGAUUGUACUUGGCAAUGAUCUUGCGAAGGCAUUGUUUUUGGAAUCUCGGACUCUCUCCAGGGUGAAAACUCAAGAUCCUUGAUCGGGCGACGAUAACGCUUGUGCAUUGUUUCCUUCUUUAAGGCGUUACUAUUGAAGAACUUUUAUGUAGUUCGGGUGUUGUCAUUGUUGGUGAUUAGAGUGUUACAUAUGUGAAUGUUUCGCCACUGCGACGGGUCUUUGUUUUUAUAUUUCUCUCUUUUUUAUUUUUGUUCUUGGCUACGUGCAUCCAUGAGUCUUUUGAUAUCUUUUUGAUGUCAAGGCUGGGUGUAAUUGAUAUCUUUGCGACAUCAAUAUUUUCCUUUUGUAUAUCUCGAAAAAAUACUGGUUAUGCCUCAGAGUUGCCUUGUUGAAACCACUGUUUUUCGAGAGCGUGAAUCUACUCCAUGGUGAAAACCUAAAACCUAUGCUCGGGCGACGACGGUACUUGCGCACUGUUUUCUUCCCGACGCGUCACUUGUGGAGAAUCUGAACUUCGGGUGGUGUCUUGGUGGUGAUCCGUGAUGAUGUUACAAGGAACUGAUCGCUGUAGUUGGAUCUUUUGUUUUUUUCCUUCUUUUUGUUUUUGGAUUGUGUAUCAUGUAUUGUCUUUAGGACACUGUAUUGUUGUAGAGGCUGACUGUACCACGGUAUUAAUAUAUUCCUUUUGUAUAAAAAAAUAAACUAAUUAGCUCACUCAUACUAUGUUCAAGUGUAGAUAAGAAUGACAUGUCAUGGCAAUAAGCUGCACCCACUGACACUAGAACGCAUAAUUUGUUUAUGCCAAGAGAAUAUUAUGUGGAGACCCCCACUAUGAUAUGAUAGAAUUAAAAUCUUAGUUAAGUAGAUUCGCUCUCCAGCGUCCACUUUUGACAAUGCGCACCACACACCAUCCCACUUUUCUUUUCACUUUCUUGGUGCCCCAUGAUUGAGUUGCAUGACCUCUCUAGAGCUGGAUGUAUCCCUUCCAUCUCAAAGGAUUGGAAAGGUAACUCAAGUUUAAUUUUCUGCACUCUUUAGUUGUGGUACACUAAUUAAGAUUCUUGCUUGUUUUCCUUGUCCCUCCUACUUAGAUUUCGCAUUUUCUUCAAUGCCAGUAAUUUAUACAAUGACGAUAGUACUGGACGCGUUUGCAUCCUACUUUGGGCGACUUGUUUCCGUAGCUGUUUAAAUUUUCAAUGAUAUUAAAUUGCUAUGCAUCUAGAAUAUUGAAAGCUUGAUAUGAGACAUGUAGAAUAUUGAAUGUCUUCAGAUGUCAUAUGAAAUAAAAUAUUUUAUUUUUGAUGAUUCCUUUUAUCGUGUAUUUAUUUCUUUAUAAAUGUGCUUUAAAUAUUAGACCUGUGGAAAUAUUAAAUACGUACAUUGGGGGGGGGGGUCUUUUUGAAUACCUAAAGCUUCGAACAUAUAAUUUUGUUUUUAUGUUGAAUUCUCCAUGACAAAAAAACAUUUAUUUUGGAAAUGACGUGAAAUCGUUGUAAUACCGAAUUGACAUGACAUCUCAAAUAAUUAUGCAUGUUCCGAUGAUGAUUUGGAAUAAGAAUUUAUAAUUCGGAGGACAGCUGUUUUCCCAAAUUAAUAAAGAGAAAAGGAACCAAGGAUUUGGCGUGUAGACGAAGCAAAAAACUCACUUUGGCCUCCUGGUAAAGUUUCACUUAGCAGCUUUGAUUCCUUUUCUUCCCCAGUGGAAAUGUGACGCUAUGCUUUGCCCAGCUCUCUGCCAUAGUUUAACAACGAUGCCAUGGUGGUAGAGAAGUGAUUAAGAGGGGGCACAACGGUUUACGACGCAGGAAAGCUGGACUCGUCAGAUUGGGAGAGACAGAGAGAAAGAGGGGAAAGGAAGGGGGGGGGGGGGGGG
rnacentral:lncRNA from 1 species